rnacentral:rRNA from 1 species
CAGCAGCCACGGUAAUACGAACCGUGCGAACGUUAUUCGGAAUUACUGGGCUUAAAGCGCGUGUAGGCGGCUCGGCACGUCGGACGUUGAAAUCCCCCGGCUCAACCGGGGAAGUGGCGCCGAUACGGCCGAGCUGGAGGGGGGUAGGGGGGUCUGGAACUUCCGGUGGAGCGGUGAAAUGCGUUGAGAUCGGAAGGAACGCCCGUGGCGAAAGCGAGGCCCUGGACCUUUUCUGACGCUGAGACGCGAAAGCCAGGGGAGCGAACGGGAUUAGAUACCCGGGUAGUCCCUGUCUCUUACA